rnacentral:lncRNA from 1 species
GAAACAUUUUGAAGAUGCAUAAAGACAUGUCACGUAUGGGUGUGGAGCUCCUCUUCAUGUCCCAUGAAGCUGGGGCUGCUCACGGUGAGACAAGGAUGUUCGAAGGGUUGAUGUGAGCCAGAUCCCAUCAAGGGCAGAGCACCCCUGGGGCCUAGCAGGGGGCUGGGAGUCAGGGCAGGAGCCAGAAGCCACGGCCAGAGCUGAUGGAAACCAGGGAAGAAUGGGCAAAAUGGCAGGGAAAACCAACACCACCCCGCAUCACCCACACCAGAUUCCCCGUUACCACCAGAGGUCUACACUCUGGAAGAGAAGCGGGAUACAGACUGGCUGUCCAGGUAAGCCCAGCUAUCUGAGCUGCAGCUCAUUAGACUUUGGUUAAUUUGUUAUUAAUUCCUCAGGAGCACCGAACAAUCCAAACAAGAUGCAGAAAUCAAUGGCCAAGGAAAAGACAAAGCAACCUUCUAAGCAGAAUGUGAGUGAGGAGAGUGGCUUUAAAAAGGCCUCGACAAACUAUUUGAGGUGCAGCCUGUAAAGUGGAGAAUAAAUGCCUUUUUUACAUUGGUUCAUAUUUUUUUUUCAAGUUGGAAAGAGGAGAGGUAAUGGCCUAGGGUGAGGAGCCUGGCUGGCCUCACAAUGCCAAGCUAAUUAU